rnacentral:rRNA from 1 species
GAUGAACGCUGGCGGCGUGCCUAACACAUGCAAGUCGAGCGAGAAACUACUAAUUGACGCUUCGGUUGAUUUUAGUAGCGGAAAGCGGCGGACGGGUGAGUAACGCGUAGGCAACCUGCCCUUUACAGGAGGAUAGCCUCGGGAAACCGGGAUUAAAACUCCAUGAUGCCAAAGUAUAGCAUUUUACUCUGGUCAAAGAUUUAUCGGUAAAGGAUGGGCCUGCGUCUGAUUAGUUAGUUGGUAAGGUAACGGCUUACCAAGGCAUCGAUCAGUAACCGACCUGAGAGGGUAAUCGGUCACAUUGGAACUGAGACACGGUCCAGACUCCUACGGGAGGCAGCAGUGGGGAAUAUUGCACAAUGGGCGCAAGCCUGAUGCAGCAACGCCGCGUGAACGAUGAAGGUUCUAUGAAUCGUAAAGUUCUGUUCUUGGGGAAGAAACAAAUGACGGUACCCAAGGAGCAAGCCCCGGCUAACUACGUGCCAGCAGCCGCCGUAAAAC